rnacentral:rRNA from 1 species
CCUACGGGAGGCAGCAGUGGGGAAUAUUGGACAAUGGGGGCAACCCUGAUCCAGCCAUGCCGCGUGUGUGAAGAAGGCCCUCGGGUUGUAAAGCACUUUCAGUGAGGAAGAACGCCUGGUGGUUAAUACCCAUCAGGAAAGACAUCACUCACAGAAGAAGCACCGGCUAACUCCGUGCCAGCAGCCGCGGUAAUACGGAGGGUGCGAGCGUUAAUUGGAAUUACUGGGCGUAAAGCGCGCGUAGGUGGCUUGAUAAGCCGGUUGUGAAAGCCCCGGGCUCAACCUGGGAACGGCAUCCGGAACUGUCAAGCUAGAGUGCAGGAGAGGAAGGUAGAAUUCCCGGUGUAGCGGUGAAAUGCGUAGAGAUCGGGAGGAAUACCAGUGGCGAAGGCGGCCUUCUGGACUGACACUGACACUGAGGUGCGAAAGCGUGGGUAGCAAACAGGAUUAGAUACCCUAGUAGUC